GUCUGUACUGUGUGUGUGUGUGUGUGUCUGUGUGGUGGUCAGUGUAAUGACUACUGUACUGGUCAGUGUACUGUAGUCUCUAAGACUCACCACAGAGUGAGACUGGUACCUGCCGACAGGGACUGAGAGAUAUCGGUCUCCCUGUGCGAUGGUUCUAUACAAAACACUAACGUUCAGAAGAGACUUUGUGUGUGUGUGAGAGAGAGAGAGGUCAGUGUGUGAGAGAGAGAGUGAGGUCAGUGUGUGAGAGAGAGGGUGAGGUCAGUGUGUGUGUGAGAGAGAGAGAGAGGUCAG
ensembl:lncRNA